rnacentral:tRNA from 1 species
GGACUAAUAGCUCAGUUGGUAGAGCAACGCCCUUUUAAGGCGUGGGUCGAAGGUUCGAGUCCUUCUUAGUUCA